ensembl:lncRNA
GAAAGGUGGUUCCACUUGAACAUCAGGAAGAGCUUCCUCACUGUGAGAGCUGUUCGGCAGUGGAACUCUCUGCCCUGACUGUGGUGGAGGCUCUUUCUUUGGAGACUUUUAAUCAGAGGCUGGAUGGCCAUCUGUUGGGGGUGCUUUGAAUGAGAUUUUCCUGCUUCUUGCAGGGGGUUGGACUGAAUGGCCCGCGAGGUUUCUUCCAACUCUACGAUUCUAUGAUUUCCCUUGCCUUUGUGUCUUGCAGGAAAAGCUUCAGAAGAGUUUACCUUUAUAAAAGUAAAAAUGGUCCACAAAGUAUUAUGGGUUUUUUUUUUGCAUAUUUCCUUUUCUUGUGAAACUUGUGUGAGAGAAAGCAAAACCCUUAAUAUAUUGAAGAAAUGUUCUCCAAAGAACAGUAAGCAGUAAUUGUAAGACUGGAUACUGUCCAUACUGAGGUAAUAGCACACUUUAAGUAUAUUUUUCAACAUAAGAAUUUAAUGGCAGCAUCAGGACAAUAUAAGCAAAAGUUUCCUUCUAACCAGUAAUACAUUGUUUCUUGGCAAUUAUGCCAGAAAGCUUCUCCGCAGUACUACUUGGAUGAUUCAGCAAUCCACAAGCUUCCCACACUAUCUAAUAUGCAGAUUACAGUGGGCUGCAUAAGACUUUGCAGUUUUUCCAGGGAUGAAAGGAUCUAUCAGUUUCCUUUUCUCCUACGUUACUUUUCUGAAAAAAUCAUUUCCUUCCCAAAUGUUUAGCAAGACUAAAGGCCUUGUCAAACUACCACUACUAUAGAAUUGCUAUGGAAGGUAUCAAAAAGCCUGGGGGGGGGGGGUGCUAUUGGAGACAGAAGCAUCACCCCUUCUAUCGUAUUCUACACACAUGCAUUUGUUUUUUUCUCCCCUUCCCUUCAUCCUGUUGGGUCUUUGUAUACCUAUUCCUGGGUCAAAAAAGUAUAAGAAAUUCUACUUUUGAUUAUAUAGGUGUUGUUUUCUUUUAUGAACUAACAUGCAUUGGCCAUCACUAAAGGAUCUCUCUGUCAUUUCAUUUUAAAAGAGCAGGGAUGAAUAGGUGGAAAUAAGUAGCCAGGAUUUCUCUCUGGUGGCAUAAAUUCCUCAUUUGACUUGACUAACAUGUAUAAAGCUAAAACAAUAAUGCUUAUAUGUGUGCUAUGAUGAAGUGUAUCCUUAUUCAAUUUGAGCUUGGCUUCAGAUGAAUACUGAUUAUAUCAAGUAUUUUACUAUGCACUUCAGGUUGCUGUUUUCAGCAUCCUAUCUGGAAUGAAACCUUGAGAUAUAUAUGUUUUCAUUAAUAAAUAUAAUCAAUCUCAUUCUAUAGGUGGAAAACCUAUUGCUAGUUGCAACUUGAGUAGAACCAUUGACUCCAUGGAACUCAAUAGGUCCACUUAGGUGACACUGAGACUCCCAUAUAUUCUAUAUGGAUUCAGGCUGCAUUGUCUUGCCUAAAGCCACAUAGUGAAAGGACAGGUGUAAGAUUUUAACUGUGUUUUGAAGCCUUCAUGGUAUUUGUAUGGCAUCACAUUUAUAUUCUUUUGUCACAAACUGUAAGAACUUUGCAAAUAUUACCCACAUGAUGUGACAUAUGCUGUGUGGAUAAUUUCCUCAUUUGUUCAAA